rnacentral:rRNA from 1 species
GCAGAACGCGAAGAACCUUACCCACCUUUGACAUGUACGGAAGUUGCCAGAGAUGGCUUCGUGCUCGAAAGAGAGCCGUAACACAGGUGCUGCAUGGCUGUCGUCAGCUCGUGUCGUGAGAUGUUGGGUUAAGUCCCGCAACGAGCGCAACCCUUGUCAUUAGUUGCUACGAAAGGGCACUCUAAUGAGACUGCCGGUGACAAACCGGAGGAAGGUGGGGAUGACGUCAAGUCCUCAUGGCCCUUAUAGGUGGGGCUACGCACGUCAUACAAUGGCCGGUACAAAGGGCAGCCAACCCGCGAGGGGGAGCUAAUCCCAUAAAGCCGGUCGUAGUCCGGAUCGCAGUCUGCAACUCGACUGCGUGAAGUCGGAAUCGCUAGUAAUCGUGGAUCAGCAUGUCACGGUGAAUACGUUCCCGGGUCUUGUACACACCG